CAACUAUCGAAAAAAUUAUCGAAUCUGAUGGUGGGUAAGGCGGAGUUCCAAGGAAUUCCACCGUAAAUUGUAAUUACACUUUGAUGCAAAGAAAUCUACAUAGCCCCUUAAAUCAACUUAAAGAAGUAAGGAUUCUGGUUGAUAUAAAUAUAGUACACAACUGUGAACCCUAUCGUUAAGUAUGGACAUCAUUCAAGCAUAACACAAUUAGUGACAAAAACUAUAAAAUAUUUUGUAAAAACAUAAUAUAUGCAUUCUAAUAAAGAUCA